UAUUAAAACAUUAUUUGUUUAGAUUUGCGUUUAGUUUCCUUUAGAUAUUAUGAGAUUUGUCACUGUCAUUUAAUUAUAAUUUUUUUAUUGAAUGUAUAAUUGGAACAAAUAUCAAGCAUGAAAACUCCUUACACGUUUAUCCCGUAUACUAUACAUUUAUAAAUUAUAUGACCUUCCAAGUAUAGGAUCCACUAAAGUGUACGACCCGCCAAAUAUCAUUUUAUGCGUGUUCUAUGUUAUUAAUUUUUUUUUUGUGAGAAAAUUUUACGUUAUUUUCCCUAUACUAUACGUGUUCUGUCAUAAUCCCUAUUCCCUAAUAUUGCAGUCGGUUAUAUUCUCAUGAUAGGUGCCAUUAUGAUAUCGAGAUUAAGAGCUGGAUUGAUAUGGAUUUUAUGAUAACUAUAGCCAAAUACGCCGAUUCGAACAGAUACCCAAAACGUCUAGAUCUAGUUCAAACUAUUGAUGACAACGCUCUCGUAAAUACAUGGACGUUAUGAAAACACACCGUUUUACAUUACUAGAUAAAUCACAAAGAUUGUGUUCUGCUAAAAGUUUUCUUUAUAAAAAAAGGUUGCAGAACUUUGAUCCGUAACCCUAUAUAAAUCACCCUCGCCUCAAUUUUUUUCUAUGAAAACUUUAGCCAGACCACGAUUUUUCUCAAACACUUGUUCAUCUUUUUGACGGUAGCUUUUAAAUCCAGCAUUCCGCCUUUGUUUAUUUUUACUUUAAAAAAAAAAUUUGAUUUAAUAUGAAUGAGACUUUUCUGGAUUUGGUUCUAAACUUCUAAUUUUGACAAAUUUAGAGAUACAAAUAUUUUGAAUUUUUAAUGGUGGUUUCCGUCUAUAUUUGUCAUAAUUCGGUGUUCUUUAUCGUAAAUCUAUUAGAGGUCUUAUUCAUUAGAAUUUAGAAGACAUGGUGUUUGAACACGAAGAGUCAGAAUUUGGUCUUUUGUUAGGUAGUGUGAACAUGAAGGAGAUAGUCAAGAUGACCACCUAACUGGUCUGAGCUGACCUACUACACUCUAGCAAAUUUUAGCUGCCUACACUAAUCCUAAACUGACUACAUUAUCUCUGAGCUAUGUAGGAACUUGUUCUAACCGCAGGAGCUACCCAAAUUCCUAACUCGGUUUCUUGACAGCGCUUAUGAAUUAUCCGGCGAAAAUUCUGAACCUCGAUUGUGUUUGUCUAUAAAACAUCUAUUUGGUCAUGUGCAGGACCGAUGACGUUACAAAACUAAUUUGUCAAAAUUGUAGGAAAUGGAUAUAUACAAAUAGCUGCAUGAUAUAUUUAACUCAAAUAGGAAUAGAAAAAUGUAAAUACAGAAAUAUAUGAUAAAACUUAAUUGAUUAUUAAAUAAUAUAAUAAUUAAAAUGGAAAUAAAUAAACAAUUUUAAUCUUUUGACAGAAUAAUUGAUUUUAAUCUUGUUUGUGAUUCUGCGUUGUUAUUUUAAAUUUAUAUUUCACGAUUACUUUUGUUUUUAAUUAAUUUUGAUUUUAUUGGGUGAUAAAAGAUAGAAUUGUAAAUAUGCGUAUAUUCAUAUACGCACGUCAUUAAUUAUUUAGGAGACUGUAACUCUCCAAAGUAAAAUUAAAAAGAAUACCAAAACGUAAUAUCCACAAACUUAAAUGGAUCGUAAAUACUAAAGUUUAAGAGAGACUAGGUUCGUAAGAAAGAUAUCUAGUCCGCUCCAAUAUAUACUUAUGUAUAUGUAAUUUUGUUGAUAAGUCUGUUAAAUAGUUAUCAUUUAAAAUUC